AUUUUUGGGUGAUCGCGGUUUGCAUUACGCAGGCUGAGGAAAGUCCAUGCUCGCACAGACUGAGAUGUCUGUAGUGUUCGUGCUUAGCGAAACCAUAAGCUAAGGUACUUUUAAUUGGGUAACGGCAGAAAAAAGGGCUAAGGAGUAAUCUAUGCCUGAGUAUUCUUGAAAGUGCCACAGUGACGAAGCAUUUUGAGAAAUCAAAAUGGUGGAACGCGGUAAACCCCUCGAGCGAGCAACCCAAACAAUGGUAGGGGCGCUUUUUCUAAGGAAAUGAACGAUGAAAGAGACGGCAUUU
rnacentral:RNase_P_RNA from 1 species